UACGUAGGGGGCAAGCGUUGUCCGGAAUCAUUGGGCGUAAAGAGCGUGUAGGCGGCCAGACAGGUCCGUUGUGAAAACUCGAGGCUCAACCUCGAGACGUCGACGGAAACCGUCUGGCUAGAGUCCGGAAGAGGAGUGUGGAAUUCCUGGUGUAGCGGUGAAAUGCGCAGAUAUCAGGAAGAACACCUAUGGCGAAGGCAGCACUCUGGGACGGUACUGACGCUGAGACGCGAAAGCGUGGGGAGCGAACCGG
rnacentral:rRNA from 1 species